CGUCCAGUUUUGGCGGGGAAGCUGAAUUAUUUUUCACCCAUGUCUUUUGCGCACUUGUUGUUUCCUGGGCGGGUUCGCCCGCCACCAGGACCACACCAUAAACCUUUUUUAUGCAGUUGCAAUCAGCGUCAGUAUAACAAAUGUAAAUCAUUUACAACUUUCAACAACGGAUCUCUUGGUUCUGGCAUCGAUGAAGAACGCAGCGAAAUGCAAUACGUAGUGUGAAUUGCAGAAUUCAGUGAAUCAUCGAAUCUUUGAACGCACAUUGCGCCCUUUGGUAUUCCAAAGGGCAUGCCUGUUCGAGCGUCAUUUGUACCCUCAAGCUUUGCUUGGUGUUGGGCGUUUGUCUUUGGCUUUUGCCCAAAGACUCGCCUUAAAACGAUUGGCAGCCGGCCUACUGGUUUCGGAGCGCAGCACAUUUUUGCGCUUGCAACUAGCUAAAGAGGCCAGCAAUCCAUCAAGACCUUCUUCUCACUUUUGACCUCGGAUCAGGUAGGGAUACCCGCUGAACUUAAGCAUAUCAAUAAGC
rnacentral:rRNA from 1 species